rnacentral:rRNA from 1 species
GACUAUGGCCAUAUCCCCCUAAAGGUGCCCAAUCUUACCUGAUUGUAGAAGCUAAGCAGGGUUGGGCCUGGUUAGUAUUUGGAUGAGAAACACAAAGUUUUAUUGAAC